GAUGAACGCUGGCGGCGUGCCUAAUACAUGCAAGUCGAGCGAACAGACGAGGAGCUUGCUCCUCUGACGUUAGCGGCGGACGGGUGAGUAACACGUGGAUAACCUACCUAUAAGACUGGGAUAACUUCGGGAAACCGGAGCUAAUACCGGAUAAUAUAUUGAACCGCAUGGUUCAAUAGUGAAAGACGGUUUUGCUGUCACUUAUAGCUGGAUCCGCGCCGCAUUAGCUAGUUGGUAAGGUAACGGCUUACCAAGGCAACGAUGCGUAGCCGACCUGAGAGGGUGAUCGGCCACACGGGAACGGAGACACGGUCCAGACUCCUACGGGAGGCAGCAGUAGGGAAUCUUCCGCAAUGGGCGAAAGCCUGACGGAGCAACGCCGCGUGAGUGAUGAAGGUCUUCGGAUCGUAAAACUCUGUUAUUAGGGAAGAACAAAUGUGUAAGUAACUAUGCACGUCUUGACGGUACCUAAUCAGAAAGCCACGGCUAACUACGUG
rnacentral:rRNA from 1 species